GGUGGGGCGUGCGCCUGGGCGGGCGUGAGGGGCCCGAGGGGCCCGAGCCGCCUGCGCCGCGGCUCAGCGGUAGCCGGUGUCUGUCUGGUGCCGGCAAACGGCCACCGCUCCCCAGGCGCCAGAUCAAAAGCUUCGUUCAGGGGAGGUUUGAGUCGGGGGGUCGCGGCCUCCUGCCCCCUCGGGCGGAAUAUUGGGGCCUUAUGAGCGGAUGGACUGAUCCUGAAAGGGGCGCAGGGCAGCCCUGAAGCGCAGCAUCGCUACUGGGGAGCUGAGCUCCGGUCUCCAGUCAAGCCGGCCGGGCCCUGGUCUCUUAACCAGUGCUGUCUGCCGAGUCUUUGCCAUCCGUCUUCGUUUAGUUCACGGGGGUUGGCUGCGGGCACUAGGGCAAGAGCUGAAAUAGUCACUGACCUGGGAGACUCAGGCUCUCCGACCUGCUCCUUCUCCUUUAUUUACAAGGGGAAAUCAUACUCUUCAUGCACUAGAGAGGGAAGCCAAGACAAGUGGCUCUGGUGCAUGACCACCAACAACUAUGACAAUGACGGCCAGUGGAACAUCUGGUCACCCAAGGCAGUUACUAACCCCAGACCUGUUGUAAUGAUGGGACAUCACAGUCCAGGACUGCUGCGCACACAGCCCCCAGCUGCUCCACUCUCUCUUCCCUCUCUGUGACAUCAGCCAGGCUGGUCUGUGCUUUUACCUUAAGAAUAAAGGAUGGCUGAGGAAGUCCGCAAGGUCCCCUUGAAGCCCAUCCUUGCCUGGGAGGAGACGAGACCUCCUCCAGGGAAGAGUUCACAGAAGAGCCCACAGCAGCAGCAGGAGCUGUGUGUGCCUCAGCCCUUCCAUGCUGAUUCACCAUCACCUGGGAAUGCCUCCUGCUUUAUGGGGCCAGACUUGCAGGAGAAAGAGACCCUAGAGUACAUCAACGCCUUUCUCAAGGGCAAUGAACAGGUACCAAGAA